rnacentral:lncRNA from 1 species
AUUCUGUCUGGUGUACUGGUAAUAUCUGGACUGGUUUAAUGGCUUGUUUCAUGGGAGAAGCGCUAAACUUUACCUCAACAUUUAUGUAAAGUUAAAGCUGCACAGCUUCCAAUUUUUGUCUUUUGAGAUGGUUGCUCUUGGAACACAGAAAUAUGCUUUAAGAUGUCAAGCCUCCUCUGCUGAUGCUGUAUGGAGAACAGACAAGCUUUCCCAUCAAGCCCUAACCAAACUGCAGAACUGUGAAUAAAAUCAAUAAUUGUUAUGAAAAGGCACU